rnacentral:lncRNA from 1 species
AGUUGCAACAUCCACUUACAAUGGGUGUAAUGUCACUGAUCACAUAAUGGAAGGAUGUCCUUUCUUAAUGAGUCCAAUCAAGAAUGAAGUAGCACAGGUGAACACAGCCUAUCAGAGACCCAUAAAUAACCCCUAUGCACCAACAUACAAUCCAGGAUGGAUGAACCACCUUAAUUUUUUUUGAUCAUAUGGGUCAAACUCAAAUAGACCUACCUUCACUCAGUCCAACCCC